rnacentral:lncRNA from 1 species
AUCUGUCAAAUAUACAAUAUGCAAUAAUUUAUGGACCUCUGAUAGAGAUUCAAUGAAUAAAAAAAAAAUUUAAAAAAAAGAGAAAGAAAAGUAAGGCAAUCAGGGCGUGGUUGUUUGGGGGACUCAUGAGUUUUAAAGAAGAGAAUUAAAUGAAGUGGGUGCAGUUGUUUGGAGGGACUCAGCAAGAAAAUAAUGUUGGAAGGC